GCAGCCACCCAAGGAUUGACUUCAACAAGAUCCAGUGCUGACAGCAACCCUGAAAGAACAAAGUAUGACAAAACCUCAGAAAACCCCCUAGUUGCUACUUUCAGUGAGGGUUAUCCCAUUUAGACAGAACAAGCCAAGGAUAUGCUUAAAGCAACACCAGACACACCUGAUCUGGAAAAGAGACCUGAUACAAGUGGAAAUGAUUCACAAGGGCAGCUGCAGAACACAGUAUAGCUUUCUAAAGAAAAUUAAAAAAUCUCUUUUCCUAA